UAGGGAAUUUUCCACAAUGGACGCAAGUCUGAUGGAGCAACGCCGCGUGAGUGAAGAAGGUUUUCGGAUCGUAAAGCUCUGUUGUUGGUGAAGAAGGAUAGAGGCAGUAACUGGUCUUUAUUUGACGGUACUCAACCAGAAAGUCACGGCUAACUACGUGCCAGCAGCCGCGGUAAUACGUAGGUGGCAAGCGUUGUCCGGAUUUAUUGGGCGUAAAGCGAGCGCAGCCGGAAUGAUAAGUCUGAUGUGAAAGCCCACGGCUCAACCCGGGAAAGGCAUCGGAAACGGUCAUGCUUGAGUGAAGAGGAGGAGAGUGGAAUUCCAUGUGUAGCGGUGGAAUGCGUAGAUAUAUGGAAGAACACCAGUGGCGAAGGCGGCUCUCUGGUCUGGAACUGACGCUGAGGCUCGAAAGCAUGGGUAGCGAACAGG
rnacentral:rRNA from 1 species